CCUACGGGUGGCAGCAGUGGGGAAUUUUGGACAAUGGGGGCAACCCUGAUCCAGCCAUUCCGCGUGAGUGAAGAAGGCCUUCGGGUUGUAAAGCUCUUUCGCAAGGGAAGAAAACUUACUCAAUAACACUGGGUGAGGCUGACGGUACCUUGAUAAGAAGCACCGGCUAACUACGUGCCAGCAGCCGCGGUAAUACGUAGGGUGCAAGCGUUGAUCGGAAUUACUGGGCGUAAGGCGUGCACGUCCGGUUUGAAAUCCCCGGGCUCAACCUGGGAACUGCGGUUGAAACUACAAGGCUAGAGUAUGGCAGAGGGGGGUAGAAUUCCACGUGUAGCAGUGAAAUGCGUAGAGAUGUGGAGGAAUACCAAUGGCGAAGGCAGCCCCCUGGGUCAAUACUGACGCUCAUGCACGAAAGCGUGGGGAGCAAACAGGAUUAGUACCCUAGUAGUC
rnacentral:rRNA from 1 species